rnacentral:misc_RNA from 1 species
AGCAAUUUUACGGUCCUUUAGGAGGUACCAUGAGGUAACAUUUUUUCUAGAGCAAUUUUACGGUCCUUUAGAAGGUACCAUGAAGUACCAUUUUUUCUAUUGUAAAUUUGGUACCUCAUGGUACCUAGGUACAAUGAGGUACCAAAAUUUACAAUAAAAUUUUGGUACCUCAUGGUACCUCCUCAAGGACCGUAGAAUUG